rnacentral:tRNA from 1 species
GGCAUUGUGAUAUAGUGGAAAAUAUUCUGGAUCUAGAGUUCAGGAAUCUGGGUUCAAAUCUCAGCUCUGCUA